UUGAAUCAGUUUAGGGAACCAGAGGAGAACAGGGGAGAAGAAGGUGGAGGACAGGUGAUGCGGGAAGAUGAGGAGGACAUUAAGAGGGGAGGAGAGAAAAGGAAGAAGACCAGCUCGGAAGGACCAGGACCAGGAACUCACAAGCCAGUGAGGUCCACCGGGUUUAUGGUUUAGGCCAGAAGUCACCAUCUCAGAGACUCAGUAUGAAAACAGGGACCACCAAGAGGAGGAGUCUGCAGCCAGAGUGUGUGACUGCUAGGAAAUAAGACACAAUAGAAACGGAGGUGUGGAUGAGGGAGCGUCUUCAGCUCGGACAGGAAGGAAGGGUGUCAGCAGUUGGGGAAGGAAAAGGAACCUGAUCGGGAACCACUGUUUUCAUCAACGUUGCUCUGGAGCUCUGUCGGGGUAUUUUCCCUCCCUGAGUGACAACUGUAUUGAUGCACAAAGUAAAUGAGAAAAU
ensembl:lncRNA